rnacentral:rRNA from 1 species
AAAUUGAAGAGUUUGAUCAUGGCUCAGAUUGAACGCUGGCGGCAGGCCUAACACAUGCAAGUCGAGCGGAAACGAGUUAUCUGAACCUUCGGGGAACGAUAACGGCGUCGAGCGGCGGACGGGUGAGUAAUGCCUAGGAAAUUGCCCUGAUGUGGGGGAUAACCAUUGGAAACGAUGGCUAAUACCGCAUGAUGUCUACGGGCCAAAGAGGGGGACCUUCGGGCCUCUCGCGUCAGGAUAUGCCUAGGUGGGAUUAGCUAGUUGGUGAGGUAAGGGCUCACCAAGGCGACGAUCCCUAGCUGGUCUGAGAGGAUGAUCAGCCACACUGGAACUGAGACACGGUCCAGACUCCUACGGGAGGCAGCAGUGGGGAAUAUUGCACAAUGGGCGCAAGCCUGAUGCAGCCAUGCCGCGUGUGUGAAGAAGGCCUUCGGGUUGUAAAGCACUUUCAGUCGUGAGGAAGGUAGUGUAGUUAAUAGCUGCAUUAUUUGACGUUAGCGACAGAAGAAGCACCGGCUAACUCCGUGCCAGCAGCCGCGGUAAUACGGAGGGUGCGAGCGUUAAUCGGAAUUACUGGGCGUAAAGCGCAUGCAGGUGGUUUGUUAAGUCAGAUGUGAAAGCCCGGGGCUCAACCUCGGAAUAGCAUUUGAAACUGGCAGACUAGAGUACUGUAGAGGGGGGUAGAAUUUCAGGUGUAGCGGUGAAAUGCGUAGAGAUCUGAAGGAAUACCGGUGGCGAAGGCGGCCCCCUGGACAGAUACUGACACUCAGAUGCGAAAGCGUGGGGAGCAAACAGGAUUAGAUACCCUGGUAGUCCACGCCGUAAACGAUGUCUACUUGGAGGUUGUGGCCUUGAGCCGUGGCUUUCGGAGCUAACGCGUUAAGUAGACCGCCUGGGGAGUACGGUCGCAAGAUUAAAACUCAAAUGAAUUGACGGGGGCCCGCACAAGCGGUGGAGCAUGUGGUUUAAUUCGAUGCAACGCGAAGAACCUUACCUACUCUUGACAUCCAGAGAACUUUCCAGAGAUGGAUUGGUGCCUUCGGGAACUCUGAGACAGGUGCUGCAUGGCUGUCGUCAGCUCGUGUUGUGAAAUGUUGGGUUAAGUCCCGCAACGAGCGCAACCCUUAUCCUUGUUUGCCAGCGAGUAAUGUCGGGAACUCCAGGGAGACUGCCGGUGAUAAACCGGAGGAAGGUGGGGACGACGUCAAGUCAUCAUGGCCCUUACGAGUAGGGCUACACACGUGCUACAAUGGCGCAUACAGAGGGCGGCCAACUUGCGAAAGUGAGCGAAUCCCAAAAAGUGCGUCGUAGUCCGGAUUGGAGUCUGCAACUCGACUCCAUGAAGUCGGAAUCGCUAGUAAUCGUGGAUCAGAAUGCCACGGUGAAUACGUUCCCGGGCCUUGUACACACCGCCCGUCACACCAUGGGAGUGGGCUGCAAAAGAAGUAGGUAGUUUAACCUUCGGGGGGACGCUUACCACUUUGUGGUUCAUGACUGGGGUGAAGUCGUAACAAGGUAGCGCUAGGGGAACCUGGCGCUGGAUCACCUCCUUAAACGAUGAU